rnacentral:rRNA from 1 species
UACGGGGGGGGCAAGCGUUGUUCGGAAUUACUGGGCGUAAAGGGCUCGUAGGCGGCCAACUAAGUCGGACGUGAAAUCCCCAGGCUCAACUUGGGAACUGCGUCCGAUACUGGAUGGCUUGAAUUCGGGAGAGGGAUGCAGAAUUCCAGGUGUAGCGGUGAAAUGCGUAGAUAUCUGGAGGAAUACCGGUGGCGAAGGCGGCAUCCUGGACCGACAUUGACGCUGAUGAGCGAAAGCUAGGGGAGCAAACGGG